UAAGGCAUGUGGAUUAACGUACACACAAGAACAAAUUGACGAAGUACGGGAUGAGUGGGCAACGUACGUGAGCACCUAUAUGUAGAGCCUCGAGUUAACGGUGAAUAUGUUAGAUGAAUGUACGUAUUUUGGGAGAACUAGGCUUUUUUGCACAUGCUUAGGUAGUAGCUUAAUUUUAUGGAUAGUUUGGUUUAUUUUGU
rnacentral:lncRNA from 1 species